rnacentral:rRNA from 1 species
UAAUACAGAGGGUGCGAGCGUUGUCCGGAAUCACUGGGCGUAAAGGGCGCGUAGGCGGGCGAUCAAGCGUGCGGUGAAAGCUCGGGGCUCAACUCCGAGUCGGCCGUGCGAACUGGUUGUCUAGAGUCUGGUAGAGGUCGAUGGAAUUCCGGGUGUAGCGGUGGAAUGCGUAGAGAUCCGGAAGAACACCGGUGGCGAAGGCGGUCGACUGGGCCAGUACUGACGCUGAUGCGCGACAGCGUGGGGAGCAAACAGGAUUAGAUACCCUGGUAGUCCACGCCGUAAACGAUGGGCACUAGAUCCUUGGGGGAGCGACCCCGUGAGGGUCGGCGCUAACGCAUUAAGUGCCCCGCCUGGGGAGUACGGCCGCAAGGCUG